rnacentral:rRNA from 1 species
GACGAACGCUGGCGGCGUGCUUAACACAUGCAAGUCGAGCGGUAAGGCCCUUUCGGGGGUACACGAGCGGCGAACGGGUGAGUAACACGUGGGUGACCUGCCCUCAGCUCUGGGAUAAGCCUGGGAAACCGGGUCUAAUACUGGAUAUGACUCCAUGACGCAUGUUGUGGGGUGGAAAGCCUUGUGCGGCUGAGGAUGGGCCCGCGGCCUAUCAGCUUGUUGGUGGGGUGAGGCCUACCAAGGCGACGACGGGUAGCCGGCCUGAGAGGGCGACCGGCCACACUGGGACUGAGACACGGCCCAGACUCCUACGGGAGCAGCAGUGGGGAAUCUUGCGCAAUGGGC